rnacentral:rRNA from 1 species
UACGGAGGGUGCAAGCGUUAUCCGGAUUUAUUGGGUUUAAAGGGUGCGUAGGCGGUCUGAUAAGUCAGUGGUGAAAAUCUGCAGCUCAACUGUAGACCUGCCAUUGAAACUGUUAGACUUGAGUAACCAUGAGGUAGGCGGAAUGCGUGGUGUAGCGGUGAAAUGCAUAGAUAUCACGCAGAACUCCGAUUGCGAAGGCAGCUUACUAAGCUACAACUGACACUGAAGCACGAAAGCGUGGGGAUCAAACAGG